CCUUUGUACACACCGCCCGUCGCUACUACCGAUUGAAUGGCUCAGUGAGGCUUUGGGAUUGGCUCAGGGAGGUCGGCAACGACCACCCAGAGCCGAAAACUUAGUCAAACUUGGUCAUUUAGAGG
rnacentral:rRNA from 1 species